rnacentral:tRNA from 1 species
GUCCCCAUCGUCUAGUGGCCCAGGACCCCGGGUUCUCAGUCCGGUAACAGGGGUUCAAAUCCCCUUGGGGAUA